rnacentral:rRNA from 1 species
CGGACGGGUGAGUAACGCGUGAGUAACCUGCCUUUCAGAGGGGGAUAACAUCCUGAAAAGGAUGCUAAUACCGCAUAACAUCUUUUUAUCGCAUGGUAGAGAGAUCAAAGGAGCAAUCCGCUGAAAGAUGGACUCGCGUCCGAUUAGCCAGUUGGCGGGGUAACGGCCCACCAAAGCGACGAUCGGUAGCCGGACUGAGAGGUUGAACGGCCACAUUGGGACUGAGACACGGCCCAGACUCCUACGGGAGGCAGCAG